GCAUGAGGGAUCGGAAGCAGCAGUAGUAGUAGUAGAGAGUACAGAGACUCUGGCCUCUAUGUGUGUUGCGUUUGUUGCGUGAGAAGAGAGCGGAAAGUAAACUACAAAAAAGAGAAGUUUCAAGGGGGCCCUGUUUAAGCCCCGCGGCCGCGUGGGUGUGCCAAAGCAGGACCGCCUGACCUUCCAAUCUCAACUCCCACUUGUUCCG
rnacentral:misc_RNA from 1 species